rnacentral:lncRNA from 1 species
GGCAAUUCUGUGACACUUUCCAAUCUAAGGCCGACAGAGCAAGGCAACCAGAUUUUUUUCUACAGCACCCUCCCAGGUGAGCAGUGGGCCUGGAGCCCUUCUGUAACCUGGCAUCUGUAGGUCUUCUCAUUAAGAACGAGAGUCAGAAGAGGAAAGGACUUAACACUCAUUACAACUCAGUCAUGGGGCUCUGAAGCGUCCCGAGGUCCCCUCUUUCCCACCCUACCUGUCGGCUGCGCGGCUCCACCACUUGCCAAACUAGGAGGAUUAAGUCGGUCUCGUCCGAGCCUAGGUCCGGCCCCAGCGCACCGGCAGUGGCCCCGAACAAAACCACCAGCGACUGAGGUUCGGGACAAGGGUCUGUGGCCGAGUCUACUGCGGGAUCUGGGCCCGGGGGUGGGGGCGGCGGCGGCGGCGGAGUCAUGGCCGCAGAGGAAGGGGGCGCUCGGCCACACACGCGGACCGACGAGGCGCACACACGUACCGACCGACAGCAGACAGACGAGCUUGGGCGGGAUCCGGUGUGUUGGGGGCGGCACCUGCGGCCGGGUGUAGUGGGAGCUGCAGAGACCCGCCCGCGGUGCCCUUUGGGGCUGGGCGGUGCGGCUGCCUAUCCCUGCCUACUCCGGCGAGUUACCUGCGGCCCGGAGAGGCCACGUGAUCAGGACGGCCCAGGGAACCCCGCGGGAGGGCCAAAACCCUGCCCAGGAGGCAAGAGCUCACUUCUGCUGAGGCGUGCGCUCGCCGGCUGGAGUCCCACCUCUUGCUGCAGUCCGGCGAGACUCCUGGGACGAAUCCAUUCUUUCUCCUACUUCCUCUCUAGCAGGCACUCUGAGUCCUCCGCAAAAGAAUGUGCAGGAUCAGAGGCCUCUUUCCAUUCUGCAAGGGUCACGCAAGACCCAUGGAAUUCAACAGGAGGCAAUCUAGGGACUAUAAAAGGUCGCGACGUCUGGCUUGAGGUUAAUGGAAGUUACAAAGGGUCAAAAGCCGACAGUGAGCGCUACCAGGUAUCCACUGGAAGUCGGUGAGAGAGAUCCGUUGGGGAAAGGGAGGGAGGUAAAGAUCAAGGGUUCUUAGAACUGUGGGCGGUCACUAGAGAUCACAGAGAAGGACGUGCCCAUACAGGUGUCGGGUCGGCGUAGUGCCGGCAGUGCAAGGCGCACGUUACUGUGGACCUGAAGGCUCAGGCCUUGGUGCCAAGGUAGGAAAAUCGUGCUUAAACUUUAGAGAGCUGUAUCCUAAAUGAAGCCGUGUCUGCUGGUAGAGAUCUGGAAGUUCAGCCUACCAACCCCACUUGGGGUUUGCCUGCUUGUUUUUGUCUCUCUUGGAUGAUGAUAGAAGUGUUAUCUGGCUAUUGAAAGCACUCCAGCAGAGAGCGGCUAGAGUUGAGAUGUGUAGAGUUGAGUCUGCAUCCCCCAACCCAGUUCAGAAGAGUCCCAUUCAUCCCAUGCAGUUUGGUGAAACUCCCUUACUGUUGUUUCCAGGCCGCCCUGUGGGCUCAGGAUAGUUUCCCACCUACUCGACUGUAAUUAGUACUCUGGCGAGAGUAAAAAGGUACUGGCGUGGGACUUAGAAUACAGGAUGCCACCGGCUGAAGAAGAACCUUGUGUGUUUGGAAAAGCGGGCUGCUUCCUAUCGGUCUUGGAUAAAAGGCAACCCAGAGCCCGGGUGCAUCCCUAACUCAUGCCCAAGGAAGGUCGUGCGGAGCCAGAGGACCUAGAAUGUAUAGUGCGCCUUCUGGGUUUGUCCACACAAUAGCGCAGGAACACAGCGACCCAAUAUAGUGAGAAGUGGCCGCAGCGCACACCCUGAGACCCUUCACCAGGCGGCCCACCCGGAGCCUGCCUACUCAGCCCCGCUACCACGAUAAGCCUGGAAUGUCAAAUAUUUGUUCUAGGAACCCAGUGAAACCUUGAGGUAAAGCCCCUCCCCUCCUCCCUCCCAUUCCGGAGCGCGCCUGCGUCAGUCCAGGCUUUCCGGUAAGGACACUCCCUUCCAACUAGUUCCUUCUCGACACCCCUGCAACCCAUCGUCCUGACUAUUUAAACUUCACAAGGUCUUCGCUACAGGCUCAGGUUCAGUGAGGCAGAGUCUUGGCUUCCCUACCCAGUUAUCCCAGAGCUACUGGUAUCGGUUUCUACCCACAACCUCCGAGCAAGGCUCCCCUUUCAACCUGUAGACCUCGCCUCCCGAUUCUCGGGAGAUCUUGCUGACUGUGGAAUCCCUGGCUGUUCCGAACCCCCUGGAAAGAAGCGGCUGUUCCCAGGUUUCUGCAAGGUAACGAAUCUGAAGAGUCAACAGAAUUGAGCGGCUCCAUUCAUUCGACUCUGGUUCUCUCAACCAGGCAUUCCCCAUAUUAAAACAAUUCCAGAACUUCAAA